rnacentral:rRNA from 1 species
CAUAGGUUAAUGAGGCGAACCGGGGGAACUGAAACAUCUAAGUACCCCGAGGAAAAGAAAUCAACCGAGAUUCCCCCAGUAGCGGCGAGCGAACGGGGAGCAGCCCAGAGCCUGAAUCAGUGUGUGUGUUAGUGGAAGCGUCUGGAAAGGCGCGCGAUACAGGGUGACAGCCCCGUACACAAAAAUGCACAUGCUGUGAGCUCGAUGAGUAGGGCGGGACACGUGGUAUCCUGUCUGAAUAUGGGGGGACCAUCCUCCAAGGCUAAAUACUCCUGACUGACCGAUAGUGAACCAGUACCGUGAGGGAAAGGCGAAAAGAACCCCGGCGAGGGGAGUGAAAAAGAACCUGAAACCGUGUACGUACAAGCAGUGGGAGCACGCUUAGGCGUGUGACUGCGUACCUUUUGUAUAAUGGGUCAGCGACUUAUAUUCUGUAGCAAGGUUAACCGAAUAGGGGAGCCGAAGGGAAACCGAGUCUUAACUGGGCGUUAAGUUGCAGGGUAUAGACCCGAAACCCGGUGAUCUAGCCAUGGGCAGGUUGAAGGUUGGGUAACACUAACUGGAGGACCGAACCGACUAAUGUUGAAAAAUUAGCGGAUGACUUGUGGCUGGGGGUGAAAGGCCAAUCAAACCGGGAGAUAGCUGGUUCUCCCCGAAAGCUAUUUAGGUAGCGCCUCGUGAAUUCAUCUCCGGGGGUAGAGCACUGUUUCGGCAAGGGGGUCAUCCCGACUUACCAACCCGAUGCAAACUGCGAAUACCGGAGAAUGUUAUCACGGGAGACACACGGCGGGUGCUAACGUCCGUCGUGAAGAGGGAAACAACCCAGACCGCCAGCUAAGGUCCCAAAGUCAUGGUUAAGUGGGAAACGAUGUGGGAAGGCCCAGACAGCCAGGAUGUUGGCUUAGAAGCAGCCAUCAUUUAAAGAAAGCGUAAUAGCUCACUGGUCGAGUCGGCCUGCGCGGAAGAUGUAACGGGGCUAAACCAUGCACCGAAGCUGCGGCAGCGACGCUUAUGCGUUGUUGGGUAGGGGAGCGUUCUGUAAGCCUGUGAAGGUGUGCUGUGAGG